UUUGCCCAGAGAGGUGCUGCAGUUGUGGCUGCUGUGUCCAUUGUGCGUCAAGAGGUGGCAGAGAGAAGAGAGGCUAUGUCUAUGCUCAGUGUUCUGAGCUGUGAACAUCUGGAUGGUUAGUAGCUUAACUUU